rnacentral:tRNA from 1 species
CAGGCCGUAAACGGUUCAACAAGAAUCACUUGGAAUCACCAAAUUUCCAUAGAUUUCAACAAGGCUUGGCGCCUGGUUCGGGACCAGGAGGCCGGAGGUUCAAAUCCUCUCGCCCCGACCA